UACGUAGGGGGCAAGCGUUGUCCGGAAUCAUUGGGCGUAAAGAGCGUGUAGGCGGCCCGAUAAGUCCGCUGUGAAAGUCCAGGGCUCAACCCUGGAAUGCCGGUGGAUACUGUCGGGCUCGAAUCCGGAAGAGGUGAGUGGAAUUCCUGGUGUAGCGGUGAAAUGCGCAGAUAUCAGGAGGAACACCAAUGGCGAAGGCAGCUCACUGGGACGGUAUUGACGCUGAGACGCG
rnacentral:rRNA from 1 species